ensembl:lncRNA
UCAGACCCAUCUCCUCAGGCUUGUCUCACCUGUGACGAUGGAAACACUCUGAAGGACAACGUCUGCUUCCCUCGCUGUGGAGAGGGGACGUACUUUUCAGAGCAGGAGCAGGCCUGUGAGCCAUGUGACCGGUUCUGCCGUCACUGCUUCGGUCCCAGAGCGCAGCAGUGUGUCAGCUGCCAUGACGACGCCGGUCUCCAUGCGGUGGAGAGCCGCUGCGCCCCCUGCUGCUCGAGCCACAGAAACACCACAGGCUGCUGCGUGUGUGACAUCCGCACAGCCCUGUGUGUGGAGGCUCCCGUUCCCAGGCAGGGGUCAGACACAGACCUAAGCUCCGCCUCCAGAGUCCUGAAACAUACAUCGGCCGCUCUGCCCCUUGUCCUGCUGCUCACCCUGGGUCUGAUCUGCGGAGGUGUGGCCUUGUACCGUGCUCACUCCAGGAAGAAGCUGUGCUGGAGGCGGAGCUACGAACGGCUGAGCGGAAACG